rnacentral:rRNA from 1 species
UACAGAGGUCUCAAGCGUUGUUCGGAUUCAUUGGGCGUAAAGGGUGCGUAGGUGGCGCUGUAAGUCGGGGUGUGAAAUUUUCGGAGCUUAACUCCGAAACUGCAUUCGAUACUGCGGUGCUUGAGGACUGGAGAGGAGACUGGAAUUCAUGGUGUAGCAGUGAAAUGCGUAGAGAUCAUGAGGAAGACCAGUGGCGAAGGCGGGUCUCUGGACA